UAAGAAAUAGGUAAAAGAAUACCAUAGAAAUUUGACUUCUAAAUUAAGAGUCCAUAUCUCUUUUUCUUAAUA
rnacentral:tRNA from 1 species